rnacentral:lncRNA from 1 species
CUCGGGAGACGGGGCGGGGGCGCACGGCAUUAAAAAAGAACCAAGAAAACCUCCCAGCCAAGCCGCCAAAAGCCUCACAACAAACCAAAAAAUCCAAAAAGCAAAACCCACAAAAUCCAGGAAACCCAAACCCGUCUGGUUUUUUUGGGUUUUUUUAAUCGCCCACCACAAAAUUUGUGGCUCCCUCCUCUUUGUCCGAGCGUCGAGCGCGAUCGUGGCUGAGCAUCACCCGCCGCGCCCGCGGCACUGCCCGCUCCCGAGGCGGCGCGGCCGGAGCCUCCCCCGCAUCGCCCCGCCCAGCACGGGCUCCGCCGCCCCCGGGCACCUCGCUCGGCCCUCGCUCGCCGCUGCCCGGCCGUGGGGCCGGCGGUGCGGGAAACACCGUCGGUCCCCGGCGGAGGCGCAACACAUCCCCCGCCAUCGCUCCCAGCGGGCCCCCGGGAAAGGGUGUGGCCGCAGCCCAGCCCACCGGCAGACAUUGGUGUGCCCAGAGUGACAUUGUGCAGCCAGCAGCACAAACCUGUAAGAUGCCAGCCCCUUCAAACCAGGCCUAGCAGCAGAGUCAGAAGAUUCAUCUGCAUUGUGAAAGCAUAUGCCAAAUGCUUGUCAGAGGACAGUCGUGUGCCAGGCUUCUUCUGGCAGUAAUGGUACGUAUUCGGCUGCCAUCGUUGCUAACAAAGUACUAAUCAUGGUGUGUGAGAGAAUGAACUGUGCAUAGAGCCAGCCGUGCUUGCAAGUGAACUCAAGCCUUCAGAAGAUUGAACUGUGUUGGACAAAUGUGCUCUGACCAACAGUUGUUAUUCUGUUUUAUUAUAGUUAGUUCCUCAAAAAUGCAGUCACAGUGCCUUUACCAAUUUCCAAGUAUCUCUCUCAUGUCCUUCUGACUAAAUACUGACAAUUCUUCUGAUUUCUUUCUUCAGUGACAGUCUUAUCUGUAUUACUGACUACUUUUACUAAUUACUUCUCCCAUAUCCAAAGAUAUCAAAAGAUAAACAAGAUUUAUCUUUCAGAAUCCUCUUCCUCUCCUGCUGUCCUCAGGGCCUCAUGCCAAAGUCUGAAAGAAAUGGUCAGGCAGAAAUAACUUUUAUAUGAACCUUUCAUGGUACGUGGCAUUCAUCCCACUCUGUGGUCCAGAAUGUUUGCUAGUUAACACACCAAAAAACCAGAUAGAAACAUCUAUCAUAACUGGGAUUGAUGGUAUCUGUGAAAAAAGAAAAGAUUGAUUUUAAAAGUGAAAAAUUAGCUUAUAAUUCCAAAUUUUAAAAUGUUUUGUCUGCUUUUUCGAAUGAGCAAUAAAAUGCACACACUAAUUAUAACUAAAUAGUAGUGUGUGGGUAUAACACUCAUGAACACAACAGGAUUCCUCCAUUUCUGAUGUAGCCAU